rnacentral:rRNA from 1 species
GACGAACGCUGGCGGCGUGCUUAACACAUGCAAGUCGAACGGAAAGGCCCUGCUUUUGUGGGGUUCUCGAGUGGCGAACGGGUGAGUAACACGUGAGUAUCCUGCCCUUGACUUUGGGAUAACUUCAGGAAACUGGUGCUACUACCGGCUAGGAGCUCCUGCUGCAUGGUGGGGGUUGGACAGUUUCGGCGGUUGGGGAUGUACUCGCGGCUUAUCAGCUUGUUGGUGGGGUAGUGGCUUACCAAGGCUUUGACGGGUAGCCGGCCUGGGAGGGUGACCGGCCACAUUGGGACAGGGGUGCGGCCCGGAGUCCUACGGGAGGCAGGAGUGGGGAAUAGUGCACAAUGGGCCGAGGGCGGAGGCAGCAACGCCGGGUGGGGGAUGACGGCCUUCGGGUAGGAAGCGGCUUUCGCCUGUGACGAAGCGUGAGGGACGGUAAUGGGUAAAGAAACACCGGCGAACUACGG